rnacentral:misc_RNA from 1 species
UGCGGAUUUCCGAUUCAGGGGUCGAAGAUUCGUUCUGGGUUUUUGGUUUGUUUUUUUUUCUUUUUUUAUUUCUUCAUACAUACACAGCCAUGUCCGGCGGUAUUGCACGCGGUCGUCUUGCGGAGGAGCGGAAGUCGUGGCGGAAGAAUCAUCCGCAUGGUUUUGUUGCAAAACCGGAGACGAUGCCCGAUGGGACCGUGAAUUUGAUGAUUUGGCAUUGCAUUAUUCCUGGGAAAGUUGGGACAGACUGGGAGGGUGGUUUCUUUCCCCUUACACUCAACUUCAGUGAAGACUAUCCAAGUAAGCCACCAAAGUGUCGAUUCCCUCAGGGCUUCUUCCAUCCCAACGUGUACCCAUCAGGAACAGUCUGCCUGUCAAUUCUCAAUGAAGAUAGCGGGUGGAGACCAGCCAUAACAGUUAAACAAAUUCUUGUUGGAAUCCAAGAUUUGCUGGAUCAACCAAACCCUGCUGAUCCUGCUCAGACAGAAGGGUAUCAUCUCUUCAUCCAGGAUGCUGUUGAGUACAAGAAGAGGGUUCGCCAACAAGCUAAGCAGUAUCCACCUCUGGUGUAAGCUGAUUCUGGUUCCUAUUAAACUUCUUGAUACUAUGAUGAUAUUAGCAGCCAGUUGCCACUGAUUGAAUCAACAUUUAAAACUGACUCGUUUUAUAGAUCGUUGGUAUGUGGUGCACAUUUCAAUUGUCAUGAUAAUCUCUGAAACUUUAGUGUUUCCCAGAUAUGGACCAACUUAUGUCGAUAUUUAUAUCGGUAGACGUGUCAACAGCCUGGUGCUGCAUUGUGUUCAUAUUGUGAACUUGCGUUUCCUG